rnacentral:rRNA from 1 species
AGAGUUUGAUCAUGGCUCAGGAUGAACGCUGGCGGCGUGCCUAACACAUGCAAGUCGAGCGGCAGCGCGAGUAGUUUACUACUUGGCGGCGAGCGGCGAACGGCUGAGUAACGCGUGGGAAUUUGCCCCAAAGUGAGGAAUAACUGCCCGAAAGGGUGGCUAAUGCCGCAUAUGAUCUUCGGAUUAAAGGAUUUAUCCGCUUUGGGAGAAGCCCGCGUCGGAUUAGGUAGUUGGUGAGGUAAUGGCUCACCAAGCCGACGAUCCGUAGCUGGUCUGAGAGGAUGACCAGCCAGACUGGAACUGAGACACGGUCCAGACUCCUACGGGAGGCAGCAGUGAGGAAUCUUCCACAAUGGGCGAAAGCCUGAUGGAGCAACGCCGCGUGCAGGAUGAAGGCCUUCGGGUUGUAAACUGCUUUUAUGAUUGAGGAAUUUGACAGUAGAUCAUGAAUAAGGAUCGGCUAACUACGUGCCAGCAGCCGCGGUCAUACGUAGGAUCCGAGCGUUAUCCGGAGUGACUGGGCGUAAAGAGUUGCGUAGGCGGUUUGUUAAGUGAAUAGUGAAAUCUGGUGGCUCAACCAUACAGGCUAUUAUUCAAACUGGCAAACUCGAGAGUGGUAGAGGUCACUGGAAUUUCUUGUGUAGGAGUGAAAUCCGUAGAUAUAAGAAGGAACACCGAUGGCGUAGGCAGGUGACUGGGACCCAUUUCUGACGCUUAAGGCACGAAAAGCGUGGGGAGCGAACCGGAUUAGAUACCCGGGUAGUCCACGCCGUAAACGAUGGAUACUGGCUGUUGGAGGUAUCGACCCCUUCAGUAGCGAAGCUAACGCGUUAAGUAUCCCGCCUGUGGAGUACGGUCGCAAGACUAAAACAUAAAGGAAUUGACGGGGACCCGCACAAGCGGUGGAUCGUGUUCUUUAAUUCGAUGCUAAACGAAGAACCUUACCAGGGCUUGACAUCCAGGGAAUUUUUGGGAAACCAAUUAGUGCCUUUUGGAACCCUGUGACAGGUGAUGCAUGGCCGUCGUCAGCUCGUGUCGUGAGAUGUUUGGUUAAGUCCAUCAACGAGCGCAACCCUUGCAACUGGUUGGAUUUUUCUAGUUGGACUGCUUCGGUAACGGAGAGGAAGGAGGGGAUGAUGUCAGGUCAGUAUUUCCCUUACGUCCUGGGCUAGAAACACGAUACAAUGGCUAGUACAAUGCGCAGCAAAGCCGCGAGGUGGAGCAAAUCGCAUCAAAGCUAGUCCCAGUUCGGAUUGGAGGCUGAAACUCGCCUCCAUGAAGUCGGAAUCGCUAGUAAUCGCAGAUCAGCAAGCUGCGGUGAAUACGUUCCCGGGUCUUGCACACACCGCCCGUCA